CGAAAGCCUGACGGAGCAAGACCGCGUGAGGGAGGAAGGCUCUAGGGUUGUAAACCUCUUUUAUCAGGGAAGAAGCUCUGACGGUACCUGAGGAAUCAGCAUCGGCUAACUCCGUGCCAGCAGCCGCGGUAAUACGGAGGAUGCAAGCGUUAUCCGGAAUCAUUGGGCGUAAAGCGUCCGCAGGUGGGAGUCCAAGUCGAUUGUCAAAGGCAGUAGCUUAACUACUGAAAGGCAGUGGAAACUGAACAACUAGAGUGCGGUAGGGGUAGAGGGAAUUCCCGGUGUAGCGGUGAAAUGCGUAGAGAUCGGGAAGAACACCAGUGGCGAAAGCGCUCUGCUGGACCGGCACUGACACUGAGGGACGAAAGCUAGGGGAGCG
rnacentral:rRNA from 1 species